rnacentral:lncRNA from 1 species
ACAUAAUUGCUGGGUGCACCUAGCAACUCCCCUUCCUUUAAGAUGGAGAGAAGUUGGGCUAAAUGGCCCAUAAAUAUUUUUCUUAAACAAAAAUCAAAUAUGGAUGACAAACUAAGAGAGAGAAAUUAUGGCCAUUGUUUCCCUUCCACUAAUUUUGAAUAUCUCCAAAUUUCCCUUCCACUCCAUCCACACUAGCGGCGCCACCUCAAAUUGCACCUCCACUGCCAUUCUCUCCUCCCCACCAAACCCGACAACCCAAAUUCUCCGAAGCCUGACACCAGGCUUAAACUUAGUGGCCAGUGGCGACCCAACUCUAUAUAUUAUUCUUUUCAUGAAAAAAAUACUAUUCUUUUUACCAGAUUCAUAUAUAUAUAUCCAAUCAGUAAACGGAGAAAAAUAAAUAUCAAUUAAUCACAAUUAAUUACCCAUGACACCAACCUAACUUGGAACUGGAGGCGUUGACAACUCUGGUGCAGAGAAGAAAGAGCGGUGAUAUAGCUGUAAAAAGAGAGCUGGAUGGAGUCGUGGGUGCCUUAGCUCUAUGACCCGCCAUUUGGUGCUCCAAAAUCUUUAAGCACAACCGUGAC